GCCCAUCCUCCAGAUCCGCACCACGUCUAAUCGGUUGUUGCCGUUGGCGAGCUGGGAUAUCUGUAUCCACACCACGGUGCCCGAGAGCUUGAUGUCGGCGUCGCCGUUGUACAGCAGGUGCCGGUGGUCGAUGACGUAGGCCGGCUUGCGACGCGACAGAGUGUAGACGUUUCGAGCCUGGACGUCGUAGAGGAAGACCUGCGCGGAUGAAGGCGAGACGUCAGCGCUUAAGGAACUUGUGAAGGGACCUGGCGCUUGCUGAUGCGGUGACCGUGAGGCGAGAAGGUGCGCGGCACCUCGGAGUGAGGCGUCGGAACGACGAGCGACUCGAGCAGGUCCUGCACCUCGCUGGGCUUCGUGGACACCGCCUGCGAAAUGUGGAGGUGGUCCACAAAGCUUAUGGUCACGUGUACCGUUCACAAAGUAGCGGUAGAAUUGCUGUGUUAUGGCUUUAGAUAGCACAAAGACAACCCCCGCAAGGUGGUGGUGUCAACAAUACGAGUAUAAAGCCUGUCAGGCGUUAAAGGUAUCAUCAUCAUCGUAUUCAUCCUACUUAGAUCCACUGCAGGACGAAGGCCUCUCCCGAUCUCACUUUGCCCUAUCCUGUGCCUUCCCCAAAUGUGUUUCUCAUGCCUUGGUAACCAUUCUGUUCCUCUUGCUGCUGCGCAAAACGACCAGUCCGGUAUGUGGACAAUAAACAAGCGUUCACAUUGCUUCAAAUACUGCUGCUAGUUGGAGCGCGGCAACAAAAACUAAUUGGCUUUCUGCACGGUUCUUCCCAGUGAGAGAGACUGUUGCGGCCCGCAGAGAGCUUUCUAUCCUUUAAAAAAAAACAAGUCUGGACUCUCGAAAUAGCACCCCUCUCAGUGCACUGUCUGAAUG
rnacentral:lncRNA from 1 species